CCCCAGAGCAGGCACCACCCCAGCAUUCACUCUCCAGAACCAGAGGCCCUCCCUAUCACAGCUACUGACAUACUUUUGCUUUAUUCACAGGCAUAAACUCACCAAGGGAGAUGAAUAAUUAAGUUCUUCAUUUGGCAAAUCAGCCACCAUGGAAAUAAACACCCACCUCUCCUCCCUCCUCCCUGCCCUGGGCGAGCUGCCUUCAGAGCAUGCCAUGGCCAGAGGUUCCUCCCGGUGACGCGCACUCGGAUGCGGACAGGAGGGGUCUCAACAGGGAAACCCAGGCAGCCUCGUCCAGGGAAAGACAGAGUGCUUUGAUCUUGAGACUGAAGAGAAUGAAGAAAAAGAUGUCAGAAGCCCCUGAAGAGCUGCACUGUAAAUCCAGAUAAUGCACAAAGCUGCAGGGCUUCAAGCUCUAUGCUGAAAUUGUCACCUGGAUAACACCGAGUGUCUGUGGCUCAGAAGCCCCAGGCUUCCACCAAAAAGAAGCAAACAGAAGAAGAAAGCAGUACAUGCAACCAAUGUCUAAAUGAGAAAAGCAGGAGAGCAGUGUGGAUCAAGGGAAGCUGAGGAGUGAUCUCUGCAUACAAUAACCAAAGAGAGGCAGCCUAAAGGAACGACAGAUUCAAGCCCUGGCGAAGAAGCAGGAGGAUAGUGCAAGAGCUUAUUCUACAAUGAAAAUUUUUAUUCUAGGAUGAGAAAUAAGACAGACUCAACUGCUUUGGUAUUUGUUGUAAAAUUCUGGCCUAAGUAUUUUUCCUAUUAAUCCAUCUGGCAGCCUUCAGCAACAGUUCCUACACCUUGACUCAGCCAGCAAGGGUGAGUCAGCGACCCACAGGGCAGGAACACGAGCGAGGAGCUGAGCAUGUACCAAGUGCACUUGUAGCCAGAACUGAACUGAAACCAGGCAGAAAAGAAAAGCUGUUCACCUAACAUGGUCUUCUUGUUCAGCACAUUUAAACAUCCCUGUUGGAAAAGCUCUAUCUGUGAGUCAACAAAAUGCCUUAAGCACAGAUCACUGGAGGAGCCCUAUUUAAGUAACAACUGAAAAAUACAACGCAGGUAUUAGAAAAUAACAUAUGUAACAGUGAUGAUGGAAACUCUGAGGUUAGGGACCACAAGAUGAGUGGAGAAGAAUGGUUUUGUUCUCGUAACUGAUAUAUGGGUUAUAAGCCUGCAGCCAGCAAAGCCAGCCUUGGGAUCAGUGAGGGCCCAAGCUGCUGAUGGUGGGACUAAAUCCUGAGCUGUCUCCUGUGGUCUUUGGCUAGUGAUGGGAGAGUCAUAAAGAAAACUUCUUUCAGCUCUAUCUCAGCUGUCAGGCAGUGAGCUCAGCUGGCAACCUGCAUUCCCCGCACUUGUCUCUGACCAUGGUUAUUUGGUAAAUUGUGUAUUAGUCAGACCAUGUCCUUCACGAGAACCAGCUGUUGCACCAGUUUGGGAUAUAGCAUUUAUCCACAAAGUACCACUACAUUCAGAAAUCUUAAUAAUCACCCCAGAAGGAGUUUCACUAGAAUUAUAAACAUUCCAUGAGAAGAUGAAAAUUAAUCUCAAGAGCCAGGUGUUGAUGUAUAUUUCUUAUGGAGAGAUGCAUUGUUUCUUGUCAGGUGCCAUAGUACUAGCUUGUCCUCUAGAUUGCAACAUAUAUAUUCAAAUUAUAGUGUAAUUCAUGGCAGAGAAAUAAAAACAAAAGGGACAAGGAGUAACAGAGGCAGCUUAAUUAAUAAAGCCCUAAUUACAGAUAUGAGAAAGUUUUUAACGGAAGAAACAUUCCAGCAGUCCCUGAGGCUCCUUUCUUCCUCAGGAUAUGGCUGACAGUGCUCUGGGCAACACUUAAGGUGCCCUUCCACUCAUCAUGACCAGGACGAAGGACCUGAGCACCUACUGCCUGAGCCUUCCCUGAACACAGGGCAGUGCCUUCCUGGCUGGGGAUUUGUGUGAGCAAAGCACUUGUGUUCUACUCCCACCCAAACCCCACCUCAAGGACACUGGAUUGAGAUGGAGAGGAUAAAAGAGACAGCCCAUGUCCUAAGCGCAUCUAUAAAUCUGGGUCACACCAGAGGAGAGAGAACAUUUCUACUUUAUCACCAAAAAGACUUGGUAUUUUGAGAGACAAAAAUUUUUUACAGCUCUGAAAGGGCAAACCCUGCAACAUUUUCAUUUUCCUAUUUUUCAUUAAAUCUCCUCCACUUUCUGACCACAUUCCAAAUGAUCAGAAACAAGAAGAUAUUAGUAAACAAUAUCUUUAAUGAAAAUGCAAUUUCCUCUCAUGUCAAAAUGAAAGAUAAUCUGUGUAACUUUGGUGAUUUGGAGGCCUUUCUAUCAGAAAACGUCUUUUCCUCACAUUAGCUAAUUCAAGAGAACCUUCUGAAUAGUCCUCCAGAGACAGCAGUUCCCUUUUAUUGCAUUCAUCUGUCUUUUAUGGCUUGCUCUCAUGAAAGAUUAAUAGCUGCAAAGGUCAAGGGCCAGUGUGAACAUUUAGUCUGACCUGCAUAGCAUAGGCUAUCAAAUUUUACCCAGUAAUUCUUGCACCGAAUCCCAUUAAUUGGAGAUAAAGCAUCAUAUAUCUUUUAGUAAUAAAUAUUUUCUUGAUUUAAAGGCUGCAAAUUAUGAAAAGCCUGCUCCAUAAAUUUGUUCCAUGGUUUAUUUACCCUGACCUGCAAAUUUUCUCUAGAGCUUAUUAAGAUUUUUUCAAUGAAAUAUUUUACACUGGAGAAAUUUGGGUAUUAGGAAAGGAGUGUAGUCCUUGAGCUUUAUCUCACCAUUUUAAUUCCACAAAAUAAAUAAAACAAUAAACAGAAAGUGUCGUAUUCCUCAACACAUUA